CACGUAGGGGACGAGCGUUGUCCGGAUUCAUUGGGCGUAAAGCGCGCGUAGGCGGCUCGGAAAGUCGGGCGUGAAAUGCCGGGGCUCAACCCCGGGACUGCGUCCGAUACUUCCGAGCUGGAGGUAGGUAGGGGAGAUCGGAAUUCCUGGUGUAGCGGUGAAGUGCGCAGAUAUCAGGAGGAACACCGGUGGCGAAGGCGGAUCUCUGGGCCUUACCUGACGCUGAGGCGCGAAAGCUAGGGGAGCGAACAGG
rnacentral:rRNA from 1 species